ACUUGUAUCAGGUCACGGAAGGUGGUAAAUACAGUCUAGUCCUGGUGUUUGAGGCAAAAGCUUUGGAGUUGUCAGAUUUUGAACUGAGACAGGCUAAAUUUGCUUCGUUCUUUGGACCGGGAAUUACAGCUGAAGUUGCUAAGGGAGAGAAGGAUCUUUAUGAAGUCCGACUCAUCUCCAAUGCCGACUCCAACACAUCAUCUUCGUAACAUGUAUAAUAUAUGUUCAUAGUUUGGUCCCACUGGCUAUACAAGCUAUAAUCUGUUGUAAAGUUUAUGCUGAGAUUUAGUUGGCAAAAUAUUAAAAGAUAAAAUUAUGUAUACAGAUUUUGACGAGAAAGAUAUGCACAGUUGCAAAUUAA